ensembl:lncRNA novel transcript, antisense to PEX14
GGGAAGGAACGUCACAACACGGCCGAGUGAAGCUGAAGGACUUGCUGCUUGAGAGACUUCUGCCCUCAGUUCUCACCUGUGCCUGGAGCUCUAAGAGCACUGAGGCAGACGGAUCUUUCACCUCGACCCCAAGGAGCCGGGCACUUGGAGUCCUGGUCAGGUGUCUCUUCUGUCUCCCCUCUUCUAGCCAGCUUUGCUUGGCGCUCCAGAUACAAAACCUGACAUCUAGUGCAAGUCCAUUUUCAGGAGGAAAAAGUGAAGACAGAGCAACCUGGCCACCCCGCUCUCUCAGAGUCCCUGCUCAGGAGGGCCUUCAUCCAUACCCGGAACAUCCCUCCCUGCAGCCAAAAUCCUCAGGCAGAACAAGUGCAGAACGGGGCCCACGGCCCGAAUACCAUAUUCACCACUGAUUUCUCAGACACCAUGAAGCCUCUUGCAAGAAAGCAGCUGUGACUUGGCUGAAAGCUUGACCAGCACCUGGAGUUUGCUGGAUUCCUCUGCUCACCCGCAAACAUCCCGCCAUGAGAAGGACAGCCUUCUCUGGGGCCCUCUGGGCUGUCAAGGCUGAGCAGACGCUGGCUGUGUGGGUUGAGGACCAGGACCCUCCCAAUAGCUGCCUCACUUUCCAGAGUUCUGAGCUAUUCCAGCCCCAAGAAACACCUGUGGUCCCUGCAGCCUCACCCUUCACCCCUCACCGCUCCUCAUUCCUGCCAUGCUCACGUUAAGAACAUUUUAUUGCCCCCUGGUUUUCAUUAUUAAUGAAAAGGGACCAGAAUGAUCUUUCCUAAAGUUCAGAGAGUCUAUAAAGACAAGAAGCUGAAAUGCCAUUUUACUCGUUUUGGAGAUGUGUGAUACAAUUCUGUCUUGUGGCAAAAUGAAAAAAGAGAAAAACUCGGAUAGAGAUGACUCCUACCCGCUGUGUGGCUCUCAGAGGGUAACAGACCAGGCUACUGCAAAAACAUUAGCACAGUCCACACUAGCUCAAACUCCCAGCCACGACCACCUCAAGUCCUGCCCCUCCCCACCCUGGGGCCUAUUUUUUCCAAGUCUGGUGCAGACCCCGCAAGGGAACUGAGAGCAGGGCGCCUGGGAACACACCUCCCCGCCACCAGGCUCCCUGAAUGUCCGGAGGUAUAAAGACAAGGGCAGGAGAUGGGGCAGUCACUCUUCUCUAGCUGGGAAGAAAAGGAAGAGAAUGAGUGGGCUUUUUAAAUGCUUCGAGUCUCCACUCUGGAAGCAGGGACUGGCCUGCCAUGCAGACAAGGCAGACAAGGUAGCAAGUGGGCAACAAGCCUGGGGUCAGAAACCCUCAUGCCACCACCAGCCAGGGGGGUUCCAAGGACAUUUUUCUCUUCUUAUCAAGCACUGACUGAAGGUGGCAGGGCUUUGUGAGCCCCAAAGAAUCCAAGAACAGGCGAUAUCUUCACUCUCACUCAGAGCCCAGCUGUCUAAGGACCGGCGCCCUAGCUGCGUGGCAGGGGUUCCUCACCAGUACCAAAGCCCUGGCAUCUCUGUGAAGGCUGAAGAGACGGGCAUCUGUGGUGGCAAUCCUCAUCCUGCACACCUGGGCCUUCCUGGACUGCCUCUACGCUGUGGCGCUGUGGGCUGCAAUGAGGUCAGGGGAUAAACUGCUAUAGAGCAAAGGGCAUGGAGCUCUUCAAAACCCAACCUUCCAAGGACUCCACGAACUAGCUUAAGCUCUGCCCGGCUCCAUGGAGGUCAGCCUGCGCAAAGGCUCCAGUUUGGGUAAAACCAUGGUAGAGCGGGGGCAGGAGAGGUGCAUCCCCACAGCUCCUAACUAUUCACUGAACACCAACAAAACCAACAUGACUCUGUUUCUUUAUACCUCCACCAACCAAAUUCUCACCUAACAGGUGAGAACAAACAUCAUCAACUAAGAACACAUGCACAGGACUAGGACUUGUGCAUACAACACGGCAAUGUUGAGCCUGAAACCUUGCUGAGCAAGUCACAGACCGAUCCACACCAUGGAAAUCCUGCAAUCCAGUAAAGGUUCAUCGGCAACACAGAGCUGAGAGCUGUCACGGAACCAUCCUGCCGAGACAACAGGCACUCCAGUGAUGUGCUGGCUGACAAGAGGGAGAGAACUCUCACGUCCUUGGGGAGGCUGGCAGCCCAAGCAUGGGCAAGGCAGUGGUAGAAACGGGGCCAGCCCAUUGAGGUCGCCUCCAGGCUCAUCAGGGUUGGAGCCAUGUCUCUAUACAGCAGUGUCUCUAGCUUCUCACAUCAGCCCAUCAGCUUCGCUCAGAAGCCACCCUGAAAAUUAAAUGACAAGACAGGCUCACUCCCAGUAAGGUCCUGGAAUAAAGCCAGCCCACCAAAUCAGUGCUUGCUACAGCACAGAGGUGGAGAGCACAAGUGCAGAGAGACGGGGACCUGGCUGGGCUGAGAAGGGCUGGCUAUAGCUUGGGGGCGGGGUGGGCCCUGAAGCACAUGGCUGUGGAUGGCUGGCAGUGGGCAGAAAGACAGGCCCAGAGAGCAGCAACAGAAACAGAUCGUCUCUGCUCUGAACAGAAGGACUUGGCAGCCUGGAUGGCAAAAGGCACCACAGUAGCCCAACAGUAGUCCUGUUGGAAAAUGCAAAGCCUGUAUUUACACGUACAUCCCAUGAAAGACAAUCUUUUCCACUUUUCAUGGGCUACAAUGCCAUUAGCAGUGUCAUCUUUAGGCAGGAAGGACACCGAGAGGCAUAUCUAUAUCCCCUGUCCAUAGAUUAAAAAAUAUGAGCUCUAAUUAAGCUGUUAAGAAUUCAGAAGAGUCCAGAAAUAGACCCAUGCUUACAUGGUCAACUGAUUUUUGAUAGAGGCCAAGGUAGCUCUAUGGGGAAAGGAUAAUUUUUGCAACAGCCAUGCUGA